CCGCAAUGAUGAAAGUGUUUCCAAAACCAUUCGUAGUUUCCACCAGAGGUCGAAAGACCCGUGUUGGCCUAAAGAACCUUCCUUGGAUGUCUGAGCGA